AGCUUCAGGUUCGUUGGUGACAGAAAAAUGGGGACAGAGAAGAUAGGGAAGCAAGAGGCCCUAAACCAGGUGCCCAUCGACUGAGAAGCACACUUACCAUCACACUGGGUGCAUAGGUGAAUCCUCUGAUGCUGGUUGGUGAAGAUCUUGAGGGAGGUUUUUCCACAUUCUUUGGAUUCAUGGUUUCUCUCUAACGUCCACGCCGAUGUUGGGUCUCAUCUUGAGCGAAGGUUUCCGCACAUCACAUUCUAUGUAAUUAAAUUCCUGGACACUGAGUCAGAUGUGCCGUCCAAGCCUCCAGACUCACCCGAGGGCUCUCGCACGGACACAUCAGAUACAGGUUUCUUUCCAGUAAGAAUUCUCUGAUGUUGUAUAAGACGGUUGGUGACACUACCCAAAUGAAGGCUUAUUCACAUUUAUUACACUUAAGAAUUUUU